rnacentral:rRNA from 1 species
CCUUCGGGAGGCAGGCGUCUACGGUGUGGUCAGUGACUGGGGUGAAGUCGUAACAAGGUAUCCGUACCGGAAGGUGCGGAUGGAUCACCUCCUUUUAG